UACAGAGGGGGCAAGCGUUGUUCGGAAUUACUGGGCGUAAAGGGCGCGUAGGCGGCCUGUUAAGUCGAACGUGAAAUCCCCGGGCUCAACCCGGGAACUGCGUCCGAUACUGGCAGGCUUGAAUCCGGGAGAGGGAUGCGGAAUUCCAGGUGUAGCGGUGAAAUGCGUAGAUAUCUGGAGGAACACCGGUGGCGAAGGCGGCUCACUGGCCCGGUACUGACGCUGAGGCACGAAAGCGUGGGGAGCAAACAGG
rnacentral:rRNA from 1 species